UGACUGAGUGGCGGACGGGUGAGUAACGACGUGGGCGAACCUGCCCCAUUAUGGGGGAGUAGCAGUUGGAAACGACUGGUAAUACCGCAUAAGCGCACGGGAAGGCAUCUUUCUGUGUGAAAAGAUUUAUCGUAAUGGGAUGGACCCGCGUCUGAUUAGAUAGUUGGUGAGGUAACGGCCCACCAAGUCGACGAUCAGUAGCCGGACUGAGAGGUCGGACGGCCACAUUGGGACUGAGAGACGGCCCAAACUCCUACGGGAGGCAGCAGUGGGGGAUAUUGCACAAUGGGGGGAACCCUGAUGCAGCGACGCCGCCGUGAGUGAAGAAGUAUUUCGGUAUGUAAAGCUCUAUCGACAGGGAAGAAAGGCCCCGCAAGGGGAGAUGACGGUACCUGAAUAAGAAGCCCCGGCUAACUACGUGCCAGCAGCCGC
rnacentral:rRNA from 1 species